rnacentral:rRNA from 1 species
AAUCCAUAGGUUAAUGAGGCGAACCGGGGGAACUGAAACAUCUAAGUACCCCGAGGAAAAGAAAUCAACCGAGAUUCCCCCAGUAGCGGCGAGCGAACGGGGAGGAGCCCAGAGCCUGAAUCAGCAUGUGUGUUAGUGGAAGCGUCUGGAAAGGCGCGCGAUACAGGGUGACAGCCCCGUACACAAAAGCGCAUGUGCUGUGAGCUCGAUGAGUAGGGCGGGACACGUGGUAUCCUGUCUGAAUAUGGGGGGACCAUCCUCCAAGGCUAAAUACUCCUGACUGACCGAUAGUGAACCAGUACCGUGAGGGAAAGGCGAAAAGAACCCCGGCGAGGGGAGUGAAAAAGAACCUGA